CAUGUUGCGCCAUUGAGUUCACCGCCUUCAUCUUCGUCGAACACUUUGUCACUUGCAGCCCAUACUCACAAUUCUAGAAGCAACAAAAGUAUGCCUGGUUCUGAUAUCAAUCAUUGUCAGGACACUCUUUUUUUCAAUUUUUAGAUCCACAUAAAUUAGUGUGGAAUAAGAAUUAGCCAAAUCAUCCCCUGUAGCGUUCACGUAUGCAACUUCUUCCUUGUCAGUAUUUUCUUUAUCAUCGGCUACAAUCACACAGCAGCCUCAUCGGAUUCACAUAGGCAGAAACUUCCUGUCCCUUUCCUUGUUUUUUCUCUUCAGCAAGAAGAGCAUUAAUCUUUCCUUGAUUUGAACAGUUUCGUGCAUGAUGUUAAGGUUUUUGGCAUGUCUAGCAAACCUUUUAACCGCCCGUUGGACUGUUUGUUUUUUACGAAGAAACAUCCAUCUUGUCCUUGCCUUUGUCAUUUCCAUCCUGCUUCUGAUUUUCCUUCCUCCGGUCCUUACACUUCUCCUUUUUAUUUGUCUAAGAAAAUAGGCAAGAUCAAAAGUUAGACCCAUUGAGCGAAAAUCCACUAAUGUGUCUGCCUAUGAAUUUUGUUUUGUG
rnacentral:lncRNA from 1 species